rnacentral:rRNA from 1 species
UACGAAGGGGGCUAGCGUUGUUCGGAAUUACUGGGCGUAAAGCGCACGUAGGCGGUCUAUUAAGUCAGGGGUGAAAUCCCGGGGCUCAACCCCGGAACUGCCUUUGAUACUGGUAGUCUCGAGUCCGGAAGAGGUGAGUGGAAUUCCGAGUGUAGAGGUGAAAUUCGUAGAUAUUCGGAAGAACACCAGUGGCGAAGGCGGCUCACUGGACCGGCAUUGACGCUGAGGUGCGAAAGCGUGGGGAGCAAACAGG